UAAGUACGAGAUUGUUAGUAGGCUGCAACAAAGGAAUCAUAUAUGUGGUAUGACUGGAGAUGGUGUGAAUGAUACCUCAGCUCUCAAAAAGUCGGAUAUUGGUAUAGCUGUUGCUGGCGCUACUGAUGCUGCGAGAGGCGCUUCUGAUAUUGUUCUCACAGAACCUGGACUGAGCGUUAUCAUCAGUGCAGUGCUUACCAGUAGAGCCAUAUUCCAAAGAAUGAAAAACUACACUGUGAGUCAAAACUUUCAUAAAGUUUUUUACACAGAGAGACUAAUUCAAAUCUUGACAUCGUCUUUCUGUGUAGAUUUAUGCGGUUUCAAACACGAUACGUAUUGUGGUAAGUAUACUUAGAAGAUUUCACUUGGUUUUGAUGGUUGCAAAUCCUAAUCUAAAGCUAUUGCAACAUGGUGCAGUUUGGCUUCAUGUUCAUUGCUCUCCUAUGGGAGUUUGAUUUCGCGCCUUUCAUGGUCCUGAUCAUAGCAAUCUUAAACGAUGGUGACGUUACAUUAUAGAGUAUUUACUGCAUUUAGUAGUGAAUUUUUUUAUAAAAGCUAACAAAAGAAUUGCAACUUAUAGGAGCAAUCAUGACAAUAUCAAAGGACAACGUGAAGCCAUCUCCACAGCCAGAUAGCUGGAAACUCAUAGAAAUCUUCUCGACCGGAGUUGUGUUUGGAGGUUACCAGGCCUUGAUGACUGUCGUUUUCUUCUGGGCGAUGAUAGACACUGAUAUUUUCUCGGUACAUACUCUUAUUCAUAGUUUCUAAUUAUAGGCUAGUUCAAAAAACUAACUCUUUUGAGGGUUUACGUAGAACAUGUUUGGUGUGAGACCAUUGAGUCAACGUCCUGAACAAAUGAUGGCUGCUUUGUAUCUACAAGUUAGCAUCACAAGUCAAGCUCUCAUCUUCGUCACCAGGUCCCGUAGCUGGUCCUACGUCGAACCCCCUGGUCUUCUCUUACUUGGUGCAUUUGUCAUAGCUCAGUUGGUAUGUAUAUAAAUAACAAAUGCUUCCACUUAAAUUCUCUUAAUGAGAACAUAACAACAAGUAUCAUAGCGGUGUAUUCUGUAUACACUCUCAGGUGGCGACGUUGAUAGCUGUUUAUGCCAACUGGAAUUUUGCGCGGAUAGAAGGAGCCGGUUGGGGAUGGGCUGGAGUGAUCUGGCUAUACAGUCUCGUAACCUACAUCCCUCUCGACUUGCUCAAGUUUUUGAUCCGCUACGUUUUGAGUGGAAAAGCCUGGUUAAACCUUCUUGAAAACAAGGUAUCGAUACCAAAUUCCACAAAACCAUCACAUGAAUCCAAGAAUGACAAGUGAAAAUGUUGCUGCCGCUUACAUGAGGGUUUCUAUGUGUUAAAACACAAAACAGACUGCCUUCACGACGAAGAAAGACUAUGGUAAAGAGGAAAGAGAGGCUCAAUGGGCUGCAGCUCAAAGAACCCUCCAUGGACUUCAACCACGAGAGACGAACAUCAUCUUCAAUGAAAAGAAUUGUUACAGUGAACUCUCUGAGAUUGCUGAACAGGCUAAACGCCGAGCUGAGGUUGCCAGGUAAAUACUAAAUCAUUCAAUUUUUCACUAUUUUCCAUCGCACCAUCACUUGAAAACUCUCAUAAAUCAUACAUGAGCUCCACCUGGUUUUCCGCCUGUCGCAACCCGAUACUUUUGGUUCCUUCGGGUUGGUGGUUUUGCUAAAUGAUGAGAUGUGGGUUUGAUGAUAUCUGCAGGCUGAGAGAGCUAAACACAUUAACAGGACAAGUAGAGUCAGUGGUUAAGCUUAGAGGACUUGACAUUGACGCGAUUCAGCAACAUUACACAGUCUAAUCAGAUUGUGAAACCUAACUAAUCUACUUUGGUUACUAUUUAAGGCUAUUUAAUUAGUUUGAAAACAAAAAACAAAGUUGUGUAGACUUAUACCGAUGCAUUUUUUUAGGAUCUUUGAUUUUUGUACUAAUUUUAUAUUAAGUUCAUGUAUUUUAUUUUGAUAAUGUCUCUUUUUUAAAACACAAAUUUUUAAUGUCUCAUUGUCAGAGUGUUGAUAGGUAAAAUGAAUUAAUUUACAAUAAAGACAUAAAAGAAUUGUUAGAUUUUAGUUGUGUCUAAUUCUUGAUAUUUUAUUAUUUUUGUUUUUCAUUCAAACAAAUAUAUCAAGUUUUAUUGAAAAUAAAAACAUUUCAAUUAACAACAAAAAUCUUUAAAUAUCAUUUAGUAUAUUAUAUAUUUUUGUUACUAGUACGACUGCACCGUAGAGCCACACGUUGCUACUCGAACCAUUUUUUUAUCAUCAACAUAGACAAACUUAUACUGACUUUGAUAUCCAAAUCGGCGGUUCCAUAUCUAACAAAAGACAGAUGUUUUCUAACACUACGUGCAAGACUGUCAAUCUUUUUAUUUUGCGUCUCAUGAAUGAUCUGUGAACUAAGAAAACUAUUUUUAAGGAUCUUGAUAUCUUCCAAAUAAAUUGCAAAAACUGUACAUUCUUCUGGUUUUGACACUAUCUUUACCAAUUGAGAAAAAUCCGUUGCAAAUAUGACAUAAUUUUGAUGUAUGUUCUGCAUACAGUCUAUUGCCCAAACUAAAGCAUUCAUCGACUACCUGUGUUCGUAAACUUCCCCAUUUUAAACCAGUUACGUCUUGCCUUAUAUUCACAAACAUGAAAUUUUGAUAAAGAUUUUAAAGUUUAAGUCUAAUAACACAUAGUUUAAAUUAAUUUUUAAAUCCAUUAAAAUCUAACAACCAUUAGCCUUUUCUUAAAUAUUCACAUAUCCCAAAUUUAUCCAAUUAUUUACAAUAUUAAUAUAUUAAUUAUUUUUUGUAUUUUUGUGUUAAUAUAGUUUAACAAGAUCCCAGACUCAUAAAUCAUAGGAGAUUUUACUAAUUGAUGAUAAAGUGAUGAAAGAAAAGGAAUAAAUAAACAAAUGUAAAUUAAACAGAAAAAAAAAAGGAAAACUGAGGAAACCAAUAAGCAAGAUCGAAGCUUUAAGACACGAGCAAAAGCUCCAACAUUCAACUCCAACCAGCAAUACGAGAAAGACACGAAGAGCAAUUCAAGACUUUGGUUUAUCACAGAAGCUCAAUACGCAUACGGAGUUCGGAACAAAAAGGUUGGUCGGAAGUUAGUUCUUCUGUUCUUGUCUGAAAAUUCUGGUCAAAUAUUUGCUUUGAAUCAAAUAGUAACCACUUGUUGUCAUGCUUAUAAAGCUUUCCUCUUCAUUGCCUCUAAGUCUCCUUCUCCCUUUUGAAUUUCAUCGUUAUUUUUGUUGUUGUAACAAAUGUUGAGUCUUUCUUUCUUUCUUUUACCAAAGCUUUGGAUUUUCAAACUUGAUCUCGAUUUACUCUUUCUUAUUAUUAAAUUACCUUUGUAGAUUUGGCGUUGACAAUGUUGGGUCUUUCUUUGCUGGUGCAGUUUUCAGUGAAGAGGAUCCCUUGCUGCUGUUUUCUUCAGAUGAUUUUGAUUCAAAAUUGAGGGCUUUUUUUUGGUGUGAAGUGAUGAGAUUUGGCUUUGCACUAAAAGGGAAUAGCUUAAAUUCAAAGUGUUAUUAGAUUGUUUUUUUUGUCUGAAAGGGCAAUAGAAGCUGAGAGUAAUAGUCAUGCAGCGUUCUCAAGAUGAGAGGAUUAAUCUUGACGAACUGAAAGGUCAUAUAGUGAAGAAGAUUGGUGUUGAAAGAUCCAAAAGGUAUUUUAUCUACCUAAGUAGGUUUCUGAGCCAGAAGCUGACCAAGAGCGAGUUUGAUAAGACAUGUUCCAGGCUGUUAGGGAGGGAGAAUCUCUUUCUACACAACCGGUUGAUACGUUCCAUCUUGAGAAACGCAACCGUCUCCUCCAAGUCCCCACUGCCUGCUCAUCUGACCACCAAACCUGUGGCUAAUGGUCCUGAACAAAGGGAAUCUUUAGCCCAUGGACUUCAACCACGAGAGACAAACAUCAUCUUCAAUGAAAAGAAUUGUUACAGUGAACUCUCUGAGAUUGCUGAACAGGCUAAACGCCGAGCUGAGGUUGCCAGGUAAAUACUAAAUCAUUCAAUUUUUCACUAUUUUCCAUCGCACCAUCACUUGAAAACUCUCAUAAAUCAUACAUGAGCUCCACCUGGUUUUCCGCCUGUCGCAACCCGAUACUUUUGGUUCCUUCGGGUUGGUGGUUUUGCUAAAUGAUGAGAUGUGGGUCUUAAACAGGGGACCAGCUUGCAAUUGGGAAAGAAACUGGUCGCAGGCUUGGAAUGGGUACAAACAUGUAUCCUUCUUCUGCGCUACUCGGACAAGAGAAAGAUUCUUCCUUGGGUGCACUUCCUGUUGAUGAACUGAUCGAGAAGGCUGAUGGAUUUACAGAAGUCUUUCCAGGUACAUACACUUAAGCAAAAGGCUAUAUCUUUAACCACACAUUCUAUGUCUAUAUCGUAUGGUUCCUUUGCAGAGCAUAAGUACGAGAUUGUUAGUAGGCUGCAACAAAGGAAUCAUAUAUGUGGUAUGACUGGAGAUGGUGUGAAUGAUACCUCAGCUCUCAAAAAGUCGGAUAUUGGUAUAGCUGUUGCUGGCGCUACUGAUGCUGCGAGAGGCGCUUCUGAUAUUGUUCUCACAGAACCUGGACUGAGCGUUAUCAUCAGUGCAGUGCUUACCAGUAGAGCCAUAUUCCAAAGAAUGAAAAAC
rnacentral:lncRNA from 1 species